GGAGAAGCCGCCGUUUAGCUUCACUACAAAACCUUCUUCCAUUUUGCUCUUCUCCAUUAGCUCCGCCGCCGACAUCCUCUGCACUACACUUUCUAUGGGGAGAAAACGGAACUUGAGCGAAGAUGGUGGCGGGGAAGACGAAGAAGAGAGGCCGAUGAAAGAGAGAAGGGUGAAAGAGAAGCAGGAGGGAAGAGAAAGUAUGCGGCCUUCAAUGAUUAAGAACAAGGAGAAAAGAGCAGCUGUACAUGCUAAGUUGAAGCAGCAGAAGAAGGUUGAGAAGAGGAAGAAGGUUAAAGCUCGUGAAGCUGCUGAGAAAAAAGCACUUGAGCUAGGGGAGGAGCCUCCAGCGAAGAUGGUACCCCGUACGAUUGAGAAUACAAGGGAAUCAGAUGAGACUGUCUGUUUACCUGAUGAUGAAGAGCUAUUUGCUGGCAACGAUGUUGAUGAGUUUAGUGCAGUUCUGAAGAACGAGCGUAGUCCAAAAAUAUUGAUUACAACAUCCCGUUAUAACUCUACAAGAGGACCAGCAUUUAUUUCCGAUCUUAUUUCUGUGAUUCCUAAUGCUCAUUACUAUAAACGAGGAACAUAUGACCUGAAAAAGAUCGUCCAAUAUGCAAAUGAGAAGGAAUUUACUUCUGUUAUUGUAGUCCACACCAAUCGCCGUGAGCCAGAUGCUCUUCUUGUCAUUGGUUUACCUGAUGGACCUACUGCUCAUUUCAAGCUCUCAAAGCUCAUGCUACGGAAGGAUAUCAAGAAUCAUGGAAAGCCAACUAGUCACAAGCCUGAGCUGGUUUUGACUA
rnacentral:misc_RNA from 1 species